ACGAACGCUGGCGGCGUGCUUAACCCAUGCAAGUCGAACGGUGAAGCGCCUUCCUUUUUGGUGGGUGUGGAUGAGUGGCGAACGGGUGAGUAACACGUGAGUAACCUGCCCCCUUCUUCUGGAUAACCGCAUGAAAGUGUGGCUAAUACGGGAUAUUCUGGGUCUGUCGCAUGAUGGGUCUGGGAAAGAUAUUGUUUCGGUGGGGGAUGGGCUCGCGGCCUAUCAGCUUGUUGGUGGGGUGAUGGCCUACCAAGGCGGUGACGGGUAGCCGGCCUGAGAGGGGGGCCGGCAGCGUGGGGGCGGGGCCCGCCCCGCGACCCCUGGGGGGGCCGGCGGGGGGGAUUGUGGCAGAGGGGGGGAAGGCUGGGGGCGGCGCCCCCGGGGGGGGGAGGGGCCCCUGGGGUUGGUGGGCCUCUUCGGCCGGUGAAGCAGCCCGGCCUGGUUUGGGGGUGGGUUGACGUUAGCUGAAAAAGAAGCCCCGCCUAACUACGUC
rnacentral:rRNA from 1 species